GUUCCUUGUGGAAGACAGAGUAGACUAAUUAAAAAAUCCUGCUUCCUGAUGGUUGGAAAAACACCAAAAUCUAACAAACAUGAGCCUUUGGACUCCCCUGAUAGAUCUCAGCCAACAGCAAGCCAAUCCAGGGGCAAAACUGCUUGGAUAUCAGCUAUCUACAGACAUAUGGAUGAGCCUGUCCAAGAGCCUGAAUGAGUCUGUCC
rnacentral:lncRNA from 1 species